GAUGAACGCUGGCGGCGUGCCUAAUACAUGCAAGUCGAACGCUGGAAAUCUAGCUUGCUAGAUUGAAGGAGUGGCGAACGGGUGAGUAAUACAUAAGCAACCUACCCACGAAGACUGGGAUAAUCUCUGGAAACGGGGACUAAUACCGGAUAGGUAAUCGGAAGGCAUCUUCUGAUUAUUAAAGGUUAAAAACACUGGUGGAUGGGCUUAUGGCGCAUUAGUUAGUUGGUGAGGUAACGGCCCACCAAGACGAUGAUGCGUAGCCGGCCUGAGAGGGUGAACGGCCACAUUGGGACUGAGACACGGCCCAGACUCCUACGGGAGGCAGCAGUAGGGAAUGUUCGGCAAUGGGGGAAACCCUGACCGAGCAACGCCGCGUGAGUGAUGACGGCCUUCGGGUUGUAAAGCUCUGUUGUAAGGGAAGAACGGUAGAUAGAGAAUAUCUAAAUGACGGUACCUUACCAGAAAGCCACGGCUAACUACGUG
rnacentral:rRNA from 1 species